rnacentral:lncRNA from 1 species
GCCAAAGAACUCACUAUAGCCAAGAUAAACCUCGGUCUUCCUCCUCUUUGUUUUUUCUUCUCUCCAUGGCUCUAAACCAUUCCCCACCGACUUCAAUUUUGUUGGAAAUCAAUCGGAAAGAGAAACCCCUAUUUUUUUUAUUUGAUUUUUUCUUUUUCCAACGACCUAUGCCGCCUCUGUUGGACACUGAACCCUUGGUCGAGUUUCAUGGCCUCCCUACGACACUCCAUAAAGUCAUGGUUGCUGGUGAAUGGCUAAUGACCAAAAGCAAAGAGAAUCCCUUGUCCCCU